CCUACGGGAGGCAGCAGUGGGGAAUCUUGCACAAUGAGCGAAAGCUUGAUGCAGCAACGCCGCGUGAGGGAAGAAGGCUCUCGGGUUGUAAACCUCUUUCAGUUGGGAAGAAGUCUCGGCGGUGAAUAGCCGUCCGGGAUGACGGUACCUUCAGAAGAAGCCCCGGCUAACUACGUGCCAGCAGCCGCGGUAAU
rnacentral:rRNA from 1 species